AGGAUAAACGCUGGCGGCGUGCCUAACACAUGCAAGUCGAACGCGCUUUCGGGCUUCGGUGCGAGAGCGAGUGGCGGACGGGUGAGUAACACAUGGGUACCUACCUUGGAGUGAGGGAUACCGGCGAGAAAUCGCCGACAAUACCGCAUAGGCUUCUUCACAAGGGAAGCAAAGUGACGCGAGUCACGCUGUGAGAUGGGCCUGUGGCCGAUUAGCUAGUUGGGGGGGUAACGGCUUCCCAAGGCGACGAUCGGUAGCUGGUCUGAGAGGACGAUCAGCCACACUGGGAUUGAGAACGGCCCAGACUCCUACGGGGGGCAGCAGUGAGGAAUUUUCCGCAAUGGAGGCAACUCUGACGGAGCAACGCCGCGUGCAGGAGGAAGGUUUUCGGAUCGUAAACUGCUUUUCUCGGGGACGAGCAAGGACGGUACCCGAGGAAGAAGCCCCGGCUAACGUACGUGCCAGCAGCCGC
rnacentral:rRNA from 1 species